rnacentral:lncRNA from 1 species
GAAGUCCUUAUGUGAAAUUAGCCCAUUAAUAAGUUAGUGGAAGAUAUUUGUUUGGUAUUUUUUAAAAUUAGUUUGAAAAGAAAAGGGCAAAUUGGUAAUUAAGUUAAUAAAGGUAUAAUAAGACAAAAUUUAAAAGCUAUCAUUUUUUUUUCUCUUCUUCAACCGUUUAUGAAGAAAAUGGGCAGCCACGGAUGAGCAAACAUUCAGCCAAGCUUCUGUAGCCCAUUUAGGUACGGUUUUUAUCCUAUUUUUUUUAUGAUUUCUACGUUUUUAGAGUCGUGGUAAUUCGAUUUAGCUAUUCCGUACCUUCGUUUCCAAAACUGUUAAAGUUUGAAAAUUUUUCCAUUGAUUAAUAUAUGUGUAUUUUGAUAAUUGAUGAUAGGAAAUGCAUCCUGCUUGUUAGAUAAACAACAUUUGUAAAAUAAUUUUUGAUAAAAAUGUCGAUUUAGGACUAAAUUGAGAAAUGUGAUAAAUUAUGUGGUAAAAGAGUGAAUAAGUGAAAUAUGUGGGCUGCUAUACGCAUGAAAAAGGUUCAAUUAAGCAUGGGUAGUAAAGAAAUUGAAAGAAAUUCAUUUUACGAGCUUAGGGGGAAAAGUGCAAAUAUGACAAACUUUAGGGGUAAAAAUGUAAUUUUACCAAAAAUGUGAAAUUGAGCUAAUUUGAAUAGCACGAUGAAUAAAUAAUUCAAAUGUUUUGUUAUAGAUCAAGGAAGACGAGAUUCAGACUUAGAAAGGGGGAAAAACAAAAAAUAUGACGAAUAAGUCCUUUUCACCGAUUAAGCUACCAAGGUAAGUUCGUGUGUAAAUAAUGCAACAUCACAUUAUUAUGUAUUUAAUGUUUUCAUAUAGCAUGAAUUGUAUAAUUGCUUUGUGAAUUCGGUUGAUGAUGUUCCAAUAUCGAUUUGAGAUCCCGUAUAAGACCAUAUAUGGGAUAUGACAUCAAUUUGAGAUUUUGUGUAAGACCAUAGCUGGGCUAUUGGCAUCGAUUUGAGAUUUCGUGUAAGACCAUAGCUGGGGCUAUUGGCAUCGAUACGAGAUUUCCAUGUAAGACCAUGUUUGUGACCUGGCAUUGGUACGAUACAUUAUGUAUGAGUUUUCUUGAGUAUCCUUACUAUUCCAAGUGGUUCAACAGGUAAUCCAAAGAUUAUGUUAAAGAAAAGACAAGGUAUAGUCAUGUUGAAAGGAUACAGGUAUGUACGAAAAAUUCAUGAGUAAUGAACUCGAUGUAUAUUAGACAUUUUGGCAAGAAUGUAAAUGAGUAAGUCAUACUUAUAAGAAUGAUCUUGUGAUGACCUUGUGAUUGUAGGUCUAUACUUAUGAGGUAUAAAUAUGUAGUAAAUUUGAUUGAUGAUUGUGUGAGGCUUUUAGGGAAAAUUAAAUUGAGACAUGAUAUGUUUAAGUCUUUGUUGUUGAUGUAUAGGUGAAAUUGGCCAAUGAAUGACAUGUAAAUACAUGAUAAUUAUUAGCUAUUGGAAUAGCUAGUUAUGGAUAUGCUUUGGUGUUAUGUGUGUCGAAAUAAAUGUUAAUAUAAAGAAAUCAUGAAAGAGUAAAAUUUGCAAUAAAACAGUUUUGGAUAGCAUCAAUUGUAUAAAUUUGAAAAAUCACCAAAAAUUGUGGGACUCAUAUUAGAGGUUGAAUAAAACUUGAAACUAAAUCUUAUUGAGUCUAGUUUCACAUAGAAGAAAUGGUGUAAGCAAAAGAAUCUCAUAUUAUGAGAUAUUUGAAUUUUUUGAGAUAAGGUCAGAAUGAUCUCAGAAUCCCCUGUUCUGACUUUAGAAAAAAAUUAAAAAUUGUAUAAAAAGAAUUAUGGGUUAUAAUUUAUAUGAUUAAAAUUCUUAAUGAGUAUAUUUUUGGGAGAAACAAACGGGAACAUCAUCCGAAUCCCGUACUAAGAUGACUUAAAGAAUAAAUUAAUUUCUUCGAAUUAUUAUUUAAUUGUUUGAAAUUAAAUAAUUAAAGUUUGAAGUGAAAAUUAAAUUAAUUAGUCACUACGUUUUAGUGAACAAACUAAUUAAAUUCAUUUACUCACAGACUAUAGUACGACAAAGUCUUCAUGACUUUAAUGGAAUUAG